AUUCACCCAGGAGUGGCACAGACCCAGGGGAAUCCCCCUACAAGAAAAUGAAAUGAUGCAUCUAACAGAAUAACACUGGUCCAGAACUUCCAAAUGGUAGUCAAUGCCUAUGGAACUGACAAAAUUGAACUUAGCAAUGAACUCCAGGCAGAUUUAUCCUGAGAGCCACUCCUUCUGAACCUCUUUGUUUCUUAAAUGUGACUAAAAGG
rnacentral:lncRNA from 1 species